rnacentral:rRNA from 1 species
ACAAUGGCAGGUACAGAGGGGUGCUACCGGGUGACCGGAUGCCGAUCUCGAAAACCUGUCCCAGUUCGGACUGGAGUCUGCAACCCGACUCCACGAAGUUGGAUUCGCUAGUAAUCGCGCAUCAGCCAUGGCGCGGUGAAUACGUUCCCGGGCCUUGUACACACCGCCCGUCAAGCCAUGGGAGCCGGGGGCGCCUGAAGUCCGGGACCGCGAGGACCGGCCUAAGGCGAAACUGGUGACUGGGGCUAAGUCGUAACAAGGUAGC